AUUGAACGCUGGCGGAAUGCUUUACACAUGCAAGUCGAACGGCAGCACGGACUUCGGUCUGGUGGCGAGUGGCGAACGGGUGAGUAAUGUAUCGGAACGUGCCCAGUCGUGGGGGAUAACGUAGUGAAAAUUACGCUAAUACCGCAUACGAUCUAUGGAUGAAAGCGGGGGAUCGCAAGACCUCGCGCGAUUGGAGCGGCCGAUAUCAGAUUAGGUAGUUGGUGGGGUAAAGGCCCACCAAGCCAACGAUCUGUAGCUGGUCUGAGAAGACGACCAGCCAGACUGGAACUGAGACACGGUCCAGACUCCUACGGGAGGCAGCAGUGGGGAAUUUUGGACAAUGGGCGAAAGCCUGAUCCAGCCAUUCCGCGUGCAGGAUGAAGGCCCUCGGGUUGUAAACUGCUUUUGUACAGAACGAAAAGGUUUCUACUAAUACUAGGAGCUCAUGACGGUACUGUAAGAAUAAGCACCGGCUAACUACGUGCCAGCAGCCGCCGUAA
rnacentral:rRNA from 1 species